CAGCCGCCACGGUAAUACGUAGGUCCCGAGCGUUGUCCGGAUUUAUUGGGCGUAAAGGGAGCGCAGGCGGUUUAGUAAGUCUGAAGUUAAAGGCAUUGGCUCAACCAAUGUAUGCUUUGGAAACUGUUAGACUUGAGUGCAGAAGGGGAGAGUGGAAUUCCAUGUGUAGCGGUGAAAUGCGUAGAUAUACGGAGGAACACCGGUGGCGAAAGCGGCUCUCUGGUCUGUCACUGACGCUGAGGCUCGAAAGCGUGGGUAGCGAACAGGAUUAGAUACCCCUGUAGUCCCUGUCUCUUAUACA
rnacentral:rRNA from 1 species